UGGUCCAUGUAUUUUAUGGACAAGUGGCAGCAAGUUAAUCAAUUGCAUGGUCAAAGGACCAGCUACGUGUAACUCUCAUCAAGUGACUUAAAACAAGUGAAUGACUAUAGUAUAGGCAUACGUGUUAACUAUAUAUACUACUAGUUUUAUAACGUUGCCAACAUAUAUAUUUGUUUAGUUCAUCUUGCUGUUUAGUCAAUAAUAAAAAAAAAGGGGGAACAAAAACGUACAGCAACAAAGCUCCUCUAUUUUUCAAGAAUGAAAAACGUACAGCAAAUCUUUUCACGAAGGAGAAGAGAGCAAGCAUACAUUUUGGUCUUUGGGGUUCGAUUGAAGGAAGAAAUUAAUCUUGUUGUUUAUUGAGUUCCAAGAUGAUUUGCAAAUGCAAGGAGGUGAUAGCAACAUUAGAUUUUAAGUUGGAGAAGAAGAAAUUGCGAAAUUGGAGCAAUUAAGAGUAGAAAUUUCUCUGAGUAAAUUAAGGCUAAAAGAGCGACGAGACGAACGGGUUACGAAUAAUCGCCGACAGGUACAGAUGCUCACGUUGGUAACCCGCCAGCUUAGGAGUCCUAUUCAGCUAUCUUGGAGAGCUCCCUUGUUCCGGAGCCUAGAUUUGGUACAGAAUCUCUUGUGGUGUAUAUGUAUUUUAUCCAGGGGUACGGCGGGGCCCUGUACCGUCAUAUGAUACUAUUGUUACUCUUAGAGGUCUGUAUACAUAUGUGUGGGUUGUGUAUCGAUGUUGUUCAGUUGUGUCUAUAUGGCUUAUGUUUUGGGACGUUCCCAUUCGUAGUGGCAGCCUUGUCGGCUUGCGUAGACAUAUAUAUAUAUAUAUAUAUAUAUAUAUAUGUUUUGAGAAGUAAUGUGUUAUGAUAGCCUUGUCGGCUCGUGUAUGGCGGGGAUGUUCCCUUAUAUAUUAUGAAAGCCUUGUCGGCUUAUCUACUAUAAUAUCUGUUAAAAGUUGUAACUCCCCAGGAGACAGGUUGUUGUGAUACGUCUAAAUAAUGCGACAGUUUUGAGACGA